UAUGGAUUAUUUAAUUAAAUUUCAUAAUUAUAAUAGCAGGUACAAUUUUCAUAACUAUGUUUGUGGGGAAAAAGGGAAAGACCUGAAUCUUGUGGAGAAUUAAACUGGUAGGAACAGAAGUGUAGAGUGUAUAAUAGGUUGGUUCCAGAGCGUACACUUUCAGCCACAAUCACGCGACGUACCAGGGACAUGAAACUGUGUGUUUUAGGAGGGGAUGGAGAACUCUAAGUCCGUCUAGUCAGUUUAGAUAACUUACGUUACCCAAGAUCACAAACUGGUUAAUGAGGAGGGCAACACGCAAACCAAGAAUAGCAGACUUCAGAGACCAUUUCUAACCAUCACACUACACUAGGACUAGCAACUGUUUUCUUUUUUCACAGUUUUCACAAAAUUUCCACACAAAUUGUGCUUUCCAGACCUUUUACAAUCCAGCCUUCUUCUCCAGUUGCUUUGAGAAUUGACCCUGUUAUACGUAAAUAUUUUAGUUCUCUCUCUUUUGUAAAAUUCAUCUUCUCCCGGACGCUAAUUUCUCAGGAACAAUGGCCUUCUGGAGUCUUAACAACCUCACAAAGAUUGUACAAUGCUGUUAGUAUUGAAAGUGGCUACCAUUAGUUCUCACUUGAGUUGUGGCACUUAUCUGUGAAACAUACCCCAAAGCAGACAACCUAGAAUCCUGCAUAAAUGAACGUCAUCCCGCCCACUCAACUCCUCGUUAUGUGUGUAGUUUACUACUUUGCAUACCUCCCCCAUUUACUGGCUGUAUUUCCCUCUGUUUCAGAACUAAAUGUUGACUACAGGAAAAUGGUCAUUGGUAUUGACACCAUGAUGACUGGAGACCUCAUAAUUUCAGAUAUACCAUUUUUUUAAUCCCAAAGUAGGUAGGAAGUAUACAUGAAAUCUGAAUUUCUUUUAAAUAGCCACAAAGCGCUCUUUCCUUGUUAUGGCAAAUCACAUUCCAAAGAAGGUGAAGCCUAACUUUUUUGAGUCAUUGUGAAAUUCUGAAGGUGUUGUCCAUAGCAUUGGAAGUGUUUUGGGGCUCUCUAAAUUUGGGCAGAAAAAUCAGCAACUGCUGGUGGUAGCUUCUUCCAAAAGGUCAGCCGAAAUUUGAAAUCAAUUUCUCUCAGCCUUGCAUGUGAAUUCUAGAAUAUCCAAUUAGUCUUCUAUAAUUUUUGGCUGAGUAGUGGGUGAUAAGUUUUCUUCUGUUUUUUUUUUUUUCUUUUCAGAAACAAAU
rnacentral:lncRNA from 1 species